CCUUUGGGUCCAACCUCCCACCCGUGUUUAUUUUACCUUGUUGCUUCGGCGGGCCCGCCUUUACUGGCCGCCGGGGGGCUCACGCCCCCGGGCCCGCGCCCGCCGAAGACACCCCCGAACUCUGUCUGAAGAUUGAAGUCUGAGUGAAAAUAUAAAUUAUUUAAAACUUUCAACAACGGAUCUCUUGGUUCCGGCAUCGAUGAAGAACGCAGCGAAAUGCGAUACGUAAUGUGAAUUGCAAAUUCAGUGAAUCAUCGAGUCUUUGAACGCACAUUGCGCCCCCUGGUAUUCCGGGGGGCAUGCCUGUCCGAGCGUCAUUGCUGCCCUCAAGCCCGGCUUGUGUGUUGGGCCCCGUCCUCCGAUUCCGGGGGACGGGCCCGAAAGGCAGCGGCGGCACCGCGUCCGGUCCUCGAGCGUAUGGGGCUUUGUCACCCGCUCUGUAGGCCCGGCCGGCGCUUGCCGAUCAACCCAAAUUUUUAUCCAGGUUGACCUCGGAUCAGGUAGGGAUACCCGCUGAACUUAAGCAUAUCAAUAAGCGGAGGAA
rnacentral:rRNA from 1 species